rnacentral:misc_RNA from 1 species
ACCGCCGGGGGGUUUGCCCCUGGAGAGCGCCCGCCGACUGCCCUACCCAAACUCUUGUACCAAAACAGUGUCGUCUGAAUUCAAAAAGGUUAAUUAAAAACAAAACUUUCAACAACGGAUCUCUUGGUUCGGGCAUCGAUGAAGAACGCAGCGAAAUGCGAUAAGUAAUGCGAAUUGCAGAAUUUCCGUGAGUCAUCGAAUCUUUGAACGCACAUUGCGCCCAUUGGUAUUCCGAUGGGCAUGCCUGUUCGAGCGUCAUUAUCCUCCCUCAAACCCCCGGUUUGGUGUUGGACCGCGUCGACCCGCGAGGGUCGACUGGUCUCAAAGACAAUGACGGCGUCCGUGGGACCCUCUUCGCAACGAGCUUUCGGGCACGCAAAACACAAAGGACCCGCGGGCCGCCCACCCUUUUUAUCAUUUACAAGGUUGACCUCGGAUCAGGUAGGAAUACCCCGCUGAACUUAAGCAUAUCAAUAAGCGGAG